rnacentral:sRNA from 1 species
GUAGAAUCUCUUUCCUGGAAAGGAUUCUUGCAGUGACUGCCAUGGAACACAGACAGACCUAUGGGAACACACGGGAACCUCUUUUAGAAAACCUGACAAGCGAGUAUGACUUGGAUCUUUUCCGAAGAGCACAAGCCCGGGCUUCAGAGGAUUUGGCCAAAUGUGUGUGGAAACACCCACCUGGUGAUGAGAUAUAUCGCAAAGGUUCAAUCUCUGUGUUUGAAGUGGAUGGCAAGAAAAACAAGAUCUACUGCCAAAACCUGUGCCUGUUGGCCAAACUUUUUCUGGACCACAAGACAUUAUAUUAUGAUGUGGAGCCCUUCCUGUUCUAUGUUAUGACAGAGGCGGACAACACUGGCUGUCACCUGAUUGGAUAUUUUUCCAAGGAAAAGAAUUCAUUCCUCAACUACAACGUAUCCUGUAUCCUUACUAUGCCUCAGUACAUGAGACAGGGCUAUGGCAAGAUGCUUAUUGAUUUCAGUUAUUUGCUUUCCAAAGUCGAAGAAAAAGUUGGCUCCCCAGAACGUCCACUCUCAGAUCUGGGGCUUAUAAGCUAUCGCAGUUAUUGGAAAGAAGUACUUCUCCGCUACCUGCAUAAUUUCCAAGGCAAAGAGAUUUCUAUCAAAGAAAUCAGUCAGGAGACAGCUG